AUUUAACGCUGGCGGCAGGCCUAACACAUGCAAGUCGAACGAGUGGCGGACUGGUGAGUAAUGUCUGGGAAACUGCCUGAUGGCGGGGGAUACCUACUUGAAACUGUAGCUAAUACCGCCUACCAUCGGAUGUGCCCAGAUGGGAUUAGCUAGUAGGUGGGGUAAAGGCUCACCUAGGCGACGAUCCCUAUCUGGUCUGAGAGGAUGACCAGCAACACUGGAACUGAGACACGGUCCAGACUCCUACGGGAGGCAGCAGUGGGGAAUAUUGGACAAUGGGCGAAAGCCUGAUUCAGCCAUGCCGCGUGUGUGAAGAAGGUCUUCGGAUUGUAAAGCACUUUAAGUUGGGAGGCGUUACCAACAGAAUAAGCACCGGCUAACUUCGUGCCAGCAGCCGCGGUAAUUC
rnacentral:rRNA from 1 species